rnacentral:rRNA from 1 species
ACGAACGCUGGCGGCCUGCCUCACACAUGCACGUCGAACGAGACCUUCGGGUCUAGUGGCGCACGGGUGCGUAACGCGUGGGAACCUGCCCUUAGGUUCGGAAUAACUCCCCGAAAGGGGUGCUAAUACCGGAUAAUGUCUUCGGACCAAAGAUUUAUCGCCUUUGGAUGGGCCCGCGUUGGAUUAGCUAGUUGGUAGGGUAAAAGCCUACCAAGGCGACGAUCCAUAGCUGGUCUGAGAGGAUGAUCAGCCACACUGGGACUGAGACACGGCCCAGACUCCUACGGGAGGCAGCAGUGGGGAAUAUUGGACAAUGGGCGAAAGCCUGAUCCAGCAAUGCCGCGUGAGUGAUGAAGGCCUUAGGGUUGUAAAGCUCUUUUACCCGGGAUGAUAAUGACAGUACCGGGAGAAUAAGCUCCGGCUAACUCCGUG